UACGAAGGGGGCUAGCGUUGCUCGGAAUCACUGGGCGUAAAGCGCACGUAGGCGGAUUGUUAAGUCAGGGGUGAAAUCCUGGAGCUCAACUCCAGAACUGCCUUUGAUACUGGCGAUCUUGAGUCCGGGAGAGGUGAGUGGAACUGCGAGUGUAGAGGUGAAAUUCGUAGAUAUUCGCAAGAACACCAGUGGCGAAGGCGGCUCACUGGACCGGUACUGACGCUGAUGCGCGAAAGCGUGGGGAGCAAACGGG
rnacentral:rRNA from 1 species